UAGCUAGUUGGUGAGGUAAAGGCUUACCAAGGCGACGAUCUGUAGCGGGUCUGAGAGGAUGAUCCGCCACACUGGAACUGAGACACGGUCCAGACUCCUACGGGAGGCAGCAGUGGGGAAUUUUGGACAAUGGGGGCAACCCUGAUCCAGCCAUGCCGCGUGAGUGAAGAAGGCCUUCGGGUUGUAAAGCUCUUUCGGCCGGGAAGAAAUCGCAUGGGCCAAUACCCUGUGUGGAUGACGGUACCGGAAUAAGAAGCACCGGCUAACUACGUGCCAGCAGCCGCGGUAAUACGUAGGGUGCGAGCGUUAAUCGGAAUUACUGGGCGUAAAGCGUGCGCAGGCGGUUUUGUAAGACAGGCGUGAAAUCCCCGGGCUUAACCUGGGAACUGCGUUUGUGACUGCAAGGCUAGAGUACGGCAGAGGGGGGUGGAAUUCCACGUGUAGCAGUGAAAUGCGUAGAGAUGUGGAGGAACACCAAUGGCGAAGGCAGCCCCCUGGGUCGAUACUGACGCUCAUGCACGAAAGCGUGGGUAGCAAACAGGAUUAGAUACCCUGGUAGUCCACGCCCUAAACUAUGUCAACUAGGUGUUGGGUGGGUAAAACCAUUUAGUACCGUAGCUAACGCGUGAAGUUGACCGCCUGGGGAGUACGGCCGCAAGGUUAAAACUCAAAGGAAUUGACGGGGACCCGCACAAGCGGUGGAUGAUGUGGAUUAAUUCGAUGCAACGCGAAAAACCUUACCUACCCUUGUCAUGCCAGGAACUUGCCAGAGAUGGCUUGGUGCCCGAAAGGGAGCCUGGACACAGGUGCUGCAUGGCUGUCGUCAGCUCGUGUCGUGAGAUGUUGGGUUAAGUCCCGCAACGAGCGCAACCCUUGUCGUUAAUUGCCAUCAUUUAGUUGGGCACUUUAACGAGACUGCCGGUGACAAACCGGAGGAAGGUGGGGAUGACGUCAAGUCCUCAUGGCCCUUAUGGGUAGGGCUUCACACGUCAUACAAUGGUCGGUACAAAGGGUUGCCAAGCCGCGAGGCGGAGCCAAUCCCAGAAAGCCGAUCGUAGUCCGGAUUGCAGGCUGCAACUCGCCUGCAUGAAGUCGGAAUCGCUAGUAAUCGUGGAUCAGCAUGUCACGGUGAAUACGUUCCCGGGUCUUGUACACACCGCGCGUCACACCAUGGGAGCGGGUUCCGCCAGAAGUAGGUAGCCUAACCGCAAGGGGGGCGCUUACCACGGCGGGGUUCGUGACUGGGGUGAAGUCGUAACAAGGUAGCCGUAGGGGAACCUGCGGCUG
rnacentral:rRNA from 1 species